CCCCUUUCAGUGUCGCACCUGGAGAGUUUCCAGUACUCUACCAGUCUCGACUAAGGGAGAGAGAGUCAAAAAGAGGCAUACUUAUUCCAUUCCUAGCUUGGGCAGUGGCUAGCAAGUGGAAGACAAUCUGCUACAAGU